UCUUAUCGAGAGCGGUAGAGGGACGGGCCCGUUGAAACCGCAGCAACCAAUGUUAAAAUUGGUGCUAAUUCCCGCAGGUUUAUUCCUGGAAGAUAAGA
rnacentral:ncRNA from 1 species